GACGAGGUGGCCGAGUGGUUAAGGCGUUGGACUGCUAAUCCAAUGGGCUAUGCCCGCGUGGGUUCGAAUCCCAUCUUCGUCG
rnacentral:tRNA from 1 species